rnacentral:rRNA from 1 species
UAGGGAAUCUUCCACAAUGGACGCAAGUCUGAUGGAGCAACGCCGCGUGAGUGAAGAAGGUUUUCGGAUCGUAAAGCUCUGUUGUUGGUGAAGAAGGAUAGAGGCAGUAACUGGUCUUUAUUUGACGGUAAUCAACCAGAAAGUCACGGCUAACUACGUGCCAGCAGCCGCGGUAAUACGUAGGUGGCAAGCGUUGUCCGGAUUUAUUGGGCGUAAAGCGAGCGCAGGCGGAAUGAUAAGUCUGAUGUGAAAGCCCACGGCUCAACCGUGGAACUGCAUCGGAAACUGUCAUUCUUGAGUGCAGAAGAGGAGAGUGGAAUUCCAUGUGUAGCGGUGGAAUGCGUAGAUAUAUGGAAGAACACCAGUGGCGAAGGCUGCUCUCUGGUCUGCAACUGACGCUGAGGCUCGAAAGCAUGGGUAGCGAACAGG